rnacentral:rRNA from 1 species
UACGUAGGGGGCAAGCGUUGUCCGGAUUUAUUGGGCGUAAAGAGCGCGUAGGCGGUUAGGUAGGUCCGUUGUGAAAACUCGAGGCUCAACCUCGAGACGCCGAUGGAAACCAUCUAACUAGAGUCCGGAAGAGGAGAGUGGAAUUCCUGGUGUAGCGGUGAAAUGCGCAGAUAUCAGGAAGAACACCCGUGGCUAAGGCGGCUCUCUAGUACGGUACUGACGCUGAGACGCGAAAGCGUGGGGAGCGAACAGG